AUGGUUCUCUCUUUUGUUAUAUUCUCCACGCUUUGCUUGCUACUGAUCAGCUUCCUACGCCACAAGUUUCAGUACUGGGAACAGCGUGGAGUGCCACAGGCAAAAACUAGCUGUCUUGGAAACUUCUUCCUCAUAAAAUCUAUGCAUAAAAUGGAACUACUACGCGAAUACUAUAAAACAUAUCGUGGAACCUCAAAAUUACUCGGCACCUACGUUUUCACCAAACCCGUACUCAUUGUAUUUGACUUGGACUUGGCAAAGACCAUGCUAAUCAAAGAUUUUAACAAACUUAUGGAUCGCUUUCAACGACGCGAGAACAAUACGCACACGUUCGACAUUCUCAAUGAGACGCUUUUUCGUGUGGGCGGUGACAGGUGGGGUCCAUUGCGCAAGAAACUUACACCGAUAUUCACGACGGCGAAAAUGAAGUUUAUGUUUCCCACGCUGUUGACGGUGGCGCAUCAAUUGGAAGAGGCUUUCAGCGCACAUUUAGCUAAGACGCCAAGCGGUGAUGUAGAAUUAUACGAUUGGAUGGCACGCUUUACCACCGAUGUGAUUGCUCAUUGUGCCUUCGGUGUUGAAUGCAAUAGCUUAAAGGACCCUACGGAAAUAUUUCGUCGCAUGGGACAUCGUAUUUUCCAUCCAAAAUUUAUAUCCAUACGCCUACGUACAUUUACGCUUACAUAUCCCGCUAUUUUCAAACUUUUGAAAUUUUUCAACAUCAAAGAACAUUCAAAAGACAUAGAAGAUUUUGUGGUGCAAAUUGUACGUGAAACAUUGCGUUUGCGCGAAGAACAAAAUAUACAACGUAAUGACUUAAUUGAUUUGUUGAUUGAGUUGAAAAACUCACAAGAUAAGGAAGGCGUGCCUCAAAUGGGUGUUGAAGAGAUGGCUGCACAGAUAUUUGUUUUUUUCACUGGCGGCUUUGAGACCAGCUCUACUGCUUUGAGUUGUGGGCUAUAUGAAAUGGCGAAGACUCCACACGUACAGGAGAAGGCGAGAGCGGAAAUUAAAAGCGUUCUUGCAAAACAUAAUGGCGAAUUGACGUAUGAGGCUCUGAUGGAGAUGACAUAUUUGGACCAAAUUAUAACAGAAACAGUUCGCAAAUAUCCACCACUCUCUGCUAUUACUCGUAUCUCCACUGACGAAUACAAGUUGCCUGGUACAAACAUUACCCUUGAGAAGGGCACACAUAUUUACAUACCCAUGAAAGAGAUACAUUAUGAUCCGGAUAUCUAUGAAAAUCCUCAAGAGUUUCGCCCGGAGCGCUUCCAUCCAGAUGAAGAGCAGAAGCGUCACCCUCAGGCCUUUCUCGGUUUCGGUUUUGGACCACGCAAUUGUAUUGGUCUCCGCUUUGCGCGCAUGCAAGUGCGCGUUGGGUUUGUAACUUUGCUAAAAUUGUAUCGCUUCAGCGUAUCGGAGAAGACACCGGCAUAUAUAGAGUCUGCUAAAUUAAAUUCAGUAGUUGUGCCUGGUUCCAAAAUUUGGCUUAAAGCAGAAAAAUUGUGAAGAUAAAACCUGUAUUACUGCAUGAUUCUUUUUAUUCUAAAGACGCUGAAAGGUCCAGCAGGUGGAUUGAUAUGUACUUUA
rnacentral:misc_RNA from 1 species